UGUGAAUGGUGUUAGUGGAUCACUAGAACU
rnacentral:piRNA from 1 species